rnacentral:lncRNA from 1 species
CGUUAAACAAGCGCUGCGUGGGAGGGAACCCAUGGUUUUUCUUCCAUUUUACUUUUUUCGCAUUUAUUUAAUUUUAUUUUUAUUUUAUUUUAUCAUAUUUUGCAUUGAGACUAAAUAUUGAAUGGUUUGUAUUUUCAGGAUCACUUUCUUAACUUUUACAGGAUGCAGGGUUUCGAUGACAUGCACGUGGCCUAUAGAGAUAAUGC